AGCAUCACCGAGGGUUCAUCGGAUGAUCGACGGAAGUUCGCCGGAAACUCACCGGAAGAAGCGAUUGACGCACCGGAGCAAGCUGCAGAAAUUGUCUUAGGAUUUAUCGUAGUUAGCACAAUGAUUAAGUUAGAAAUGGGAGGUGAUCCCAUUAGCUUAAUCUUGGGGCAAUUGGGCCCCUGAAAAACCCAAAUUGGGCCGAAUGGAUCUACCCAUUCGGACCCUGAUUG
rnacentral:lncRNA from 1 species